rnacentral:rRNA from 1 species
UACGUAGGGGGCAAGCGUUGUCCGGAUUUAUUGGGCGUAAAGAGCGUGUAGGCGGUUAGGUAGGUCCGUUGUGAAAACUCGAGGCUCAACCUCGAGACGCCGAUGGAAACCAUCUGGCUAGAGUCCGGAAGAGGAGAGUGGAAUUCCUGGUGUAGCGGUGAAAUGCGCAGAUAUCAGGAAGAACACCCGUGGCGAAGGCGGCUCUCUGGGACGGUACUGACGCUGAGACGCGAAAGCGUGGGGAGCGAACAGG